UGUGUAAGCGCAGCGAUGCGUUGAGCUAACCGGUACUAAUGAACCGUGAGGCUUAACCUUACAACGCCGAAGGUGUUU
rnacentral:rRNA from 9 species